UACAGAGGGUGCAAACGUUGUUCGGAUUUACUGGGCGUAAAGCGUGUGUAGGCGGUUUGGCAAGUCGGAUGUGAAAGCCCCGGGCUCAACUCGGGAAGUGCACUCGAUACUGCUAGACUGGAGUGUGGGAGAGGUUGGUGGAAUUCUCGGUGUAGAGGUGAAAUUCGUAGAUAUCGAGAGGAACACCGGCGGCGAAGGCGGCCAACUGGACCAACACUGACGCUGAGACACGAAAGCGUGGGGAGCAAACAGG
rnacentral:rRNA from 1 species